rnacentral:snoRNA from 1 species
UGCCAUGUUGGUCAGCAAAAAGACACAACUUUGCAGUGUGUCCGAAUUGAAAAAACGUGGCUAGAAGAGUAACAGGUUCUGCUUUCCUCGCUGUAAAGUUAGUUGCAGUGGUGACAAUGAGACCUGUAACAGGU